GAAGAAACAAGGUAAAAUGAAGUAAUAAUGAAAGAAGUUAAACAAGUAAAUGAAGAAAAAAGGUAAAAUGAAGUAAUAAUGAAAGAAGUUGAACAAGUAAAUGAAGAAACAAGGUAAAAUGAAGUAAUAAUGAAAGAAGUUAAACAAGUAAAUGAAGAAAAAAGGUAAAAUGAAGUAAUAAUGAAAGAAGUUAAACAAGUAAAUGAAGAAACAAGGUAAAAUGAAGUAAUAAUGAAAGAAGUUAAACAAGUAAAUGAAGAAACAAGGUAAAAUGAAGUAAUAAUGAAAGAAGUUAAACAAGUAAAUGAAGAAAAAAGGUAAAAUGAAGUAAUAAUGAAAGAAGUUAAACAAGUAAAUGAAGAAAAAAGGUAAAAUGAAGUAAUAAUGAAAGAAGUUAAACAAGUAAAUGAAGAAAAAAGGUGAAAUGAAGAAAAAAGGAAAGAAGUUAGGAGAGAAAACCCCAACAUUCCCCUCUGAGCAAGCACUUGGCGACAGUGGGGAGGAAAAACUGCCUGUAAACGAGGACAAACCUCCGGCAGAACCAGGCUCAGGAGGGGACAGUCAAC
ensembl:lncRNA